rnacentral:ribozyme from 14 species
AAAAAAAAGAAAAAGAAAACUAAAAAAACAAUAAAAAGAAAAAAAUGCCUCGCACUCCAUCACAUUUUUGUCAUGUCAACUUUAUUCUGCUCCUUCUUUUC